GGGCCGCCAGGGGAUGGAACUGGUUCUGCCAGGGUUGGAGAAGCUGCAAGCUGCGUUCUGCAGCGGCUCUAGUUUGGCGCUGCCCGCUGUUGGCUGGGGAGAGAAAUAGCUCCCAGGAACAGGAAGCCCGCAGGAAGCGGACGGGGAGCAAACAGGAAGAGCGAGUCCUGCCUCCUGCACUAGCCUAGUGGUGCUGCUCUAGCGCCCUAGCGCCCGGGCUGCAGAGCCUACACAGCCUACACAGAGCUGGCUGGCAGAGCGGAGCCGCAGCGGAGUCCCAGCUCCAGCAUCAUCAGUUGGAGCCCAGAGCAUGGAGCAUAGAGGUUGGGGUUGGCGGCCCUCCACUACUUUCUGUUCCUUCUUCAACGUUGACUCUUGCCUUGGACAGACUGAGCUGCCGACUGGCCCCUUCUCUCCAUUCUCUGGCUAGAAGAUGACUGAAGCCCCUCCGGGGAUCUGCAAAGCCUGCCAGACAGAGGGCCUGGAGCUAAGGGUUGCCGAUGACGUCUAUGCUCCUUUGGGAGGUGGCAAGGGAUCUGUUCCUGGAGGUGCUUGAGCAGAAGACAGAGCCUUUUGCCAAGGAUGUGGCAGAAGAGAUUCAAACAUAAUUCAAACAUUGUUAGGUAAUGAUUGGACCAGGCACCCUUGACUGUCUCUUUGCAGCUUAAGAUUCUCUGAUUUUAUGUUAAAAUAGACUUCAUGAAAAUGGGGAGGACUCUUGAAAGUGAGACCCCCUAUUUCCCUCCCUGUGUUUGGGGGUGACCGUGUUUAAGUCUUCCUUUUCCCCCCAAAUGGCUCCUUUCUUCUCCCCUUACUCGCUUCUUUAGUCCCCCCUGCCAAGGCCGGAUGAGCCUCAAAGCCAGUGUGGCCCAGGACUCACUUUUGCGCGUUCCAAAGCCCUUGUCAGCUGGAGCAAGGCAAUGGUGCGGGCUCUGGGCAAGCAUCUCAAACUUGGGGGCACAAACCCCGUGUUUAACCUAUUUUGCUACAGCAAGCAAUGGUUCUUCCGGUACCACACACCUUUGAAACUUUCCUUGUUUUGAGAUAUUCCCAUAUUCAAUUUCCUUUCUUAUCUCAAAAACUGAAAACAGCAAAGUUUAUUCAUUGCCCAUCCCAGUAUUCUUUUUCUUAUUAAAUUCAAUACAAUUUUUUUUCUAAGAGAUGGGAGUCUCACUUUAUUGCCCAGGUUGGCCUUGAACCCAUGGGCUCAAGUGAUCCUCCCACCUCAGCCUCCAGAGUAUCUGGGACUACAGGCACAUGCUACUGCACCUGGCUUUUAAAUUUCUACCUAGUUUUUUCCUUAUUAAUUUCAGUUGAAACAUUCAGCACCAGCCCAUGUUCUGCCUUACUGUGCUCUGCAAAUUAGCGCACAUCUCUUUUAUCGAUUCAGUAAUUGACAUUUCCCAAUAAAGUGGAGGCUUGUGUGGAAAGAUGGAGUCAAGACUCUGUUUUGAGACAGAGUCUCACUCUGUCGCCAGGCUGCAGUGCGAUGGCACGAUCUCAGCUCACUGCAACCUCCGCCUCUUGGGUUCA